AUUGAACGCUGGCGGCAGGCCUAACACAUGCAAGUCGAACGGUAACAGGAAGCAGCUUGCUGCUUUGCUGACGAGUGGCGGACGGGUGAGUAAUGUCUGUGAAACUGCCCGAUGGAGGGGGAUAACUACUGGAAACGGUAGCUACUACCGCAUAACGUCGCAAGACCAAAGAGGGGGACCUUAGGGCCUCUUGCCAUCGGAUGUGCCCAGUUGGGAUUAGCUAGUAGGUGGGGUAACGGCUCACCUAGGCGACGAUCCCUAGCUGGUCUGAGAGGAUGACCAGCCACACUGGAACUGAGACACGGUCCAGACUCCUACGGGAGGCAGCAGUGGGGAAUAUUGCACAAUGGGCGCAAGCCUGAUGCAGCCAUGCCGCGUGUAUGAAGAAGGCCUUCGGGUUGUAAAGUACUUUCAGCGGGGAGGAAGGGAGUAAAGUUAAUACCUUUGCUCAUUGACGUUACCCGCAGAAGAAGCACCGGCUAACUCCGUG
rnacentral:rRNA from 1 species